UAAGGAAAAGAGGGUCAUGCUUAAAGCAAGCAUCAUUAUCAUCAGGAAGGACAUAAGUAUUAUAAGGGCUUACCCUUGUACGCGAAUCAUUGGCAGAAGGGCCGACAUCACUAAGUCGCCUGACGAAGGGGGAGAAGUCUGCAAAAGUAAUAUCUCAAAAUGUGAGCGAGCUACAAGUGUGAUCCAAAAGAAAACGAAGGUGGACAUUGAUAAAGGAUACCUCAUUUCGCAGUUUCUUGGUAGGGGUUUUUACUGGUAACCCGGACACCAAAUCUUCUGAGUGACUUCGAGUCUUCCGAAAGGAAGCGUGUUGCGCCUUCUUCAAGAGGAAAUUAGGGUCCAGACAAGCAUUCAGGUGAGACAUGGGAACUUUCCCACAAACUCGCCUGGCCGGCUUAGGCGGAGGAGAAGAUGAGUCGGAAGAAAUAGAAAUUACCUCUACGACGUCAUCUUGGCUUUCGUUAUCAUCAUUCUAUACAUAGAAAUGCAGAGAUAUAAGGACAAAUUAGAGCAAAGGGCGACAAGACAAAGAAGAUAAAGUUUUACCUCUGAAGACGCUUCGUCGACUUGGGAUUCGUCCACAUCAGACGAUUCGGCGAUGGCGGUUUUGUUUUUGCUCUUCGUUUUCUUCUUUGGAGGUGGUCUGGCUUGCUUCAGGGUACUCCUUUUCGGCCUUUUUGACCAGAAUUGGUCACCUUUCUGAGGUGGAAUUUUCAUUAUGCAAGUCAGAAUCCGAGUAAGUCGGGAAGAGUAAACCAAGGGCGAGUUAAAUUAUUUACCUUAGGAGCGGGGUUAAUUUUGCAGAAUGGCUUAAGCCCUAUCUGGCUACACUUGGCCAAGGGCUCGCCAGUUAGCUUCUUGAGGAUGGUCACAAUGUCUUCC
rnacentral:lncRNA from 1 species